CAAUAUCCUAUACCCAGAAUUAAUGUAUUAUUAGCCACACUAGCACUAGAUGAGGAGGCGAAAAAGCUGUUAAUCAUCAAUACGCCAAGUAUAUUGUAUCGUUUCACACGACUUUCGUUUGGGAUAGCUUCAGCGCCAUCCAUUUUUCAACAAGCAAUGGAUUCGUUAUUAGAAGGAACCUUGGAUAGCGAAGCACCAUUUUUGGCCCAUUAUAAUCCCAAAAAGCCGAUAAUUCUCUGCUGAUGCGUUGCAACAUG